rnacentral:rRNA from 1 species
GUUCGAUUCCGGAGAGGGAGCCUGAGAAACGGUUACACAUCCAAGGAAGGCAGCAGGCGCGCAAAUUACACAAUCCCGACACGGGGAGGUAGUGACAAUAAAUAACAAGCCAGGGCCCUAACGGGUUUUGGCAAUUGGGAUGAGUACAAUGUAAACACCUUAACGAGGAACAAUUGGAGGACAAGUCUGGUGCCAGCACCCGCGGUAAUUCCAGCUCCAAUAGCGUAUAUUAAAGUUGUUGCAGUUAAACACAAGCUCGUAGUUGCACAUUGGGCGCGGUGACCGGUCCGCCUCACGGGUGAACUGGUCUCGGCCGUGCUUUCCUCUUGGGCCGCCCGAGAGCGCUUGAUUGUGCGCUCGGGAUGGCCCAGGACUUUUACUUUGACAAAAUUAGAGUGUUCCAAAGCAGGCAUUUGCUCGGAUACAUUAGCAUGGAAUAAUAGAAUAGGACGUCGUCUUAUUUUGGUGGUUUCUAAGACCGGCGUA